CCUAGUCUCCCAGUGUCCCCUAGUCUCCCAGUGUCUGUGUUCCCAUGUCUGUGUCCAUAGUGUCUUAGUGUCCCCAUAUGUUUCAGUGUCCCCAUGUCUCCCAGUGUCUGUGUCCCCAUUUCUCCCAGUUUCCCUAAAUGUCUCAGUAUCCCCAUGUCUCCCAGUGUUCCCAUGUCUUUGUGUCCCCGGGUCUCUGUGUCCCCAUGUCUCUCA